UUUCUGUUAGUAUGUGAUAAUGUGUAAUUUAAUUAAAAAUUAAUUAAUUUAUAUAAUUAUAUUAAAAUAUAGGGUCAAAAGGUAAUUAUCUUAAAUAUCUAUUAAGAAUAAGAACGAAUUUAUAUAGUUAUUACUGAAUCUGCCACGUAGCGCCUUUUCCCCCUAUAAAUACGGAGGCGCCUGGAGAGGAAACGGCAGGAAGAAAGAAAAAGAAAGAAAGGAAGAGAGAAAGAAAAGAAAGAAAAAGAAAGAAAGAAAAGAGAGGAAAAGAAGGAAAGAAUAGUAGAAGCUAAAAGGGUCUUUGAUAGUGGAAAGAAAGUAAGGUAUUAAAGUUAAGGUGACAUGUCAGGACCAGCGUGUGGGGUAGGCACCAAGCACUUUUAUUAAUGUAUUUUUUUAUGUAAAUAUCGGCCUUUUUGGUCGAUACAUUUUGUAAUAAAAAUAGAAGCUCCAAUGAUUAUUUUAGUACCCUUAUUUAAA